GGGGGGGGGGGGGCUAUACAUGCAGUCGAGCGAAUGGAUUAAGAGCUUGCUCUUAUGAAGUUAGCGGCGGACGGGUGAGUAACACGUGGGUAACCUGCCCAUAAGACUGGGAUAACUCCGGGAAACCGGGGCUAAUACCGGAUAACAUUUUGAACCGCAUGGUUCGAAAUUGAAAGGCGGCUUCGGCUGUCACUUAUGGAUGGACCCGCGUCGCAUUAGCUAGUUGGUGAGGUAACGGCUCACCAAGGCAACGAUGCGUAGCCGACCUGAGAGGGUGAUCGGCCACACUGGGACUGAGACACGGCCCAGACUCCUACGGGAGGCAGCAGUAGGGAAUCUUCCGCAAUGGACGAAAGUCUGACGGAGCAACGCCGCGUGAGUGAUGAAGGCUUUCGGGUCGUAAAACUCUGUUGUUAGGGAAGAACAAGUGCUAGUUGAAUAAGCUGGCACCUUGACGGUACCUAACCAGAAAGCCACGGCUAACUACGUGCCAGCAGCCGCGGUAAUACGUAGGUGGCAAGCGUUAUCCGGAAUUAUUGGGCGUAAAGCGCGCGCAGGUGGUUUCUUAAGUCUGAUGUGAAAGCCCACGGCUCAACCGUGGAGGGUCAUUGGAAACUGGGAGACUUGAGUGCAGAAGAGGAAAGUGGAAUUCCAUGUGUAGCGGUGAAAUGCGUAGAGAUAUGGAGGAACACCAGUGGCGAAGGCGACUUUCUGGUCUGUAACUGACACUGAGGCGCGAAAGCGUGGGGAGCAAACAGGAUUAGAUACUUUGGUUAAUCCAAA
rnacentral:rRNA from 1 species